GGAAGUAAAGGUCGUAACAAGGUCUCCGUUGGUGAACCAGCGGAGGGAUCAUUACCGAGUUAUCAACUCCCUAACCCCUGUGAACAUACCCAACGUUGCUUCGGCGGGACCGCCCCGGCGCCCUCGGCGUCCCGGAACCAGGCGCCCGCCGGAGGACCCAAACUCUUGUUUAAACCAUAGUGGCAUAUUCUGAGACUCACAAGAAAAAUGAAUCAAAACUUUCAACAACGGAUCUCUUGGCUCUG
rnacentral:misc_RNA from 1 species